rfam:Oryza sativa (indica cultivar-group) chromosome 2, whole genome shotgun sequence.
AAAAAGACAAACCCUGGGUUUCCGUGUCCAGCGUUUGACUGUCCGUCUUAUAUGAAUUUAUCCAGCGUUUUAUAAUUAGUAUUUUCAUUGUUGUUAGAUGAUAAAAUAUGAUUAAUAUUUUAUGCGUGACUUAUCUUUUAUUUUUUUUUUUCAAAUAAGAUGGACGGUCAAACGUUGGACACGGAAACCCAGGGUUUGUCUUUUU